rnacentral:misc_RNA from 1 species
GCUAGAUUCCACCUGCUUUGG